AGCCGUUACCGCGGUUACCAGCGCUACGUCACGAUAAUAUGAUAGGUAAGGUUUGUGUGUUUUAUUGACAGAAAGAUGUUUCUCCCCAAGGCUGGAUUGAUCUUGGUUCAAAGCAGUGUGAACUGAUCACAGGGUUGAUGUUGGUUUGAUGAGGUGAUCUGAUGAACUGAUCACAGGGUUGAUGUUGGUUUGAUGAGGUGAUCUGAUGAACUGAUCACAGGGUUGAUGUUGGUUUGAUGAGGUGAUCUGAUGAACUGAUCACAGGGUUGAUGUUGGUUUGAUGAGGUGAUCUGAUGAACUGAUCACAGGGUUGAUGGUGGUUUGAUGAGGUGAUCUGAUGAACUGAUCACAGGGUUGAUGUUGGUUUGAUGAGGUGAUCUGAUGAACUGAUCACAGGGUUGAUGUUGGUUUGAUGAGGUGAUCUGAUGAACUGAUCACAGGGUUGAUGUUGGUUUGAUGAGGUGAUCUGAUGAACUGAUCACAGGGUUGAUGUUGGUUUGAUGAGGUGAUCUGAUGAACUGAUCACAGGGUUGAUGUUGGUUUGAUGAGGUGAUCUGAUGAACUGAUCACAGGGUUGAUGUUGGUUUGAUGAGGUGAUCUGAUGAACUGAUCUCAGGGUUGAUGUUGGUUUGAUGAGGUGAUCUGAUGAACUGAUCACAGGGUUGAUGUUGGUUUGAUGAGGUGAUCUGAUGAACUGAUCACAGGGUUGAUGUUGGUUUGAUGAGGUGAUCUGAUGAACUGAUCACAGGGUUGAUGUUGGUUUGAUGAGGUGAUCUGAUGAACUGAUCACAGGGUUGAUGUUGGUUUGAUGAGGUGAUCUGAUGAACUGAUCACAGGGUUGAUGUUGGUUUGAUGAGGUGAUCUGAUGAACUGAUCACAGGGUUGAUGUUGGUUUGAUGAGGUGAUCUGAUGAACUGAUCACAGGGUUGAUGUUGGUUUGAUGAGGUGUUCUGAUGAACUGAUCACAGGGUUGAUGUUGGUUUGAUGAGGUGAACUGAUCACAGGGUUGAUGUUGGUUUGAUGAGGUGUUCUGAUGAACUGAUCACAGGGUUGAUGUUGGUUUGAUGAGGUGAACUGAUCACAGGGUUGAUGUUGGUUUGAUGAGGUGUUCUGAUGAACUGAUCACAGGGUUGAUGUUGGUUUGAUGAGGUGAACUGAUCACAGGGUUGAUGUUGGUUUGAUGAGGUGAACUGAUCACAGGGUUGAUGUUGGUUUGAUGAGGUGAUCUGAUGAACUGAUCACAGGGUUGAUGUUGGUUUGAUGAGGUGAUCUGAUGAACUGAUCACAGGGUUGAUGUUGGUUUGAUGAGGUGAUCUGAUGAACUGAUCACAGGGUUGAUGUUGGUUUGAUGAGGUGAUCUGAUGAACUGAUCACAGGGUUGAUGUUGGUUUGAUGAGGUGAUCUGAUGAACUGAUCACAGGGUUGAUGUUGGUUUGAUGAGGUGAUCUGAUGAACUGAUCACAGGGUUGAUGUUGGUUUGAUGAGGUGAUCUGAUGAACUGAUCACAGGGUUGAUGUUGGUUUGAUGAGGUGAUCUGAUGAACUGAUCACAGGGUUGAUGUUGGUUUGAUGAGGUGAUCUGAUGAACUGAUCACAGGGUUGAUGUUGGUUUGAUGAGGUGAUCUGAUGAACUGAUCACAGGGUUGAUGUUGGUUUGAUGAGGUGAUCUGAUGAACUGAUCACAGGGUUGAUGUUGGUUUGAUGAGGUGAUCUGAUGAACUGAUCACAGGGUUGAUGUUGGUUUGAUGAGGUGAUCUGAUGAACUGAUCACAGGGUUGAUGUUGGUUUGAUGAGGUGAUCUGAUGAACUGAUCACAGGGUUGAUGUUGGUUUGAUGAGGUGAUCUGAUGAACUGAUCACAGGGUUGAUGUUGGUUUGAUGAGGUGAACUGAUGAACUGAUCUCAGGGUUGAUGUUGGUUUGAUGAGGUGAUCUGAUGAACUGAUCACA